CAGCAGUGGGGAAUAUUGCACAAUGGGCGCAAGCCUGAUGCAGCCAUGCCGCGUGUAUGAAGAAGGCCUUCGGGUUGUAAAGUACUUUCAGCAGUGAGGAAGGUGGAUAUGUUAAUAGCAUAUUCAUUUGACGUUAGCUGCAGAAGAAGCACCGGCUAACUCCGUGCCAGCAGCCGCGGUAAUACGGAGGGUGCGAGCGUUAAUCGGAAUUACUGGGCGUAAAGCGCAUGCAGGUGGUUUGUUAAGUCAGAUGUGAAAGCCCCGGGGCUCAACCUCGGAAUUGCAUUUGAAACUGGCAAACUAGAGUACUGUAGAGGGGGUAGAAUUUCAGGUGUAGCGGUGAAAUGCGUAGAGAUCUGAAGGAAUACCGGUGGCGAAGGCGGCCCCCUGGACAGAUACUGACACUCAGAUGCGAAAGCGUGGGGAGCAAACAGGAUUAGAUACCCUGGUAG
rnacentral:rRNA from 1 species